ensembl:miRNA
CGGGCCCCGGGCGGGCGGGAGGGACGGGACGCGGUGCAGUGUUGUUCUUUCCCCCGCCAAUAUUGCACUCGUCCCGGCCUCCGG